GGAGGGGUGCCGGAGUGGUUAAUCGGAGCAGACUGUAAAUCUGCCGCCUGAAAUGGCUACGCAGGUUCGAAUCCUGCCCCCUCCACCA
rnacentral:tRNA from 1 species